GAGCAUGUAGCUCAACUGGCAGAGCAUUCGCUUGACGUGCGAAAGGUUAUAGGUUCAAGUCCUAUCAUGCUCA
rnacentral:tRNA from 1 species